rnacentral:rRNA from 1 species
CCCUUAGAUGUUCUGGGCCGCACGCGCGCUACACUGAUCAGUGCAACAAGCAUCCGUCCUUGGCCGACAGGCCCGGGCAAUCUUUGAACGCUGAUCGUGAUGGGGAUAGACUUUUGCAAUUUUUGGUCUUCAACGAGGAAUUCCUAGUAAACGCAAGUCAUCAACUUGCAUUGAUUACGUCCCUGCCCUUUGUACACACCGCCCGUCGCACCUACCGAUUGAAUGGUCCGGUGAAGCCUCGGGAUUGCGAAUGCUUCGUGCGGACGCGAGAACUUGGCUAAACCUUACCAUUUAGAGGAAGGUGAAGUCGUAACA